rnacentral:lncRNA from 1 species
GUUCUUCAAUUCAUAACUCCUAAGUUCUCUAAUUAAUUUUAUUUACAUUCAAGUUAUUUAUUGGAUUCCCGCUUGCAUCAAGUGCUCUAGUCUUUAUAACGCUAGAGUAGUAAUUAAUAGAUUAGACAUGGUAUUUAGUCUUGCGAUUACCUGGAAUUGCACCCAAUCCUGCGGAUUGUUGUGGUAGCCUUAGGGUAGUGACAGCCCUAACGGUCGACGUAUUCCACCUCGUUCGGAUCGGUGUUUGUAGGACCGUAGUCAGACCUUCCUAGCCCCCUUCUCAUCUCUUUAUGUGGUUACUGCUCUGAUGUCCCGAUAUAGAUAAUCUUGAAGUAAUUCUUGAUUCUUAGAUCAACUAGAGAACUCUCAGGAAAUUUCCUCUCUUCCCACCAAAAAUAAUUAUAUAGUUAUCCUUGGGCGAUUUUGGAUCUUAAUUAGUACACUCACGUUCUCUGUGGAAAAUCGAUACUCUGGAAUACUCCCGGGUGAAGGCUACAUCGGUAUCCGUGCGCUUGCGGAUUUUUCUGUUUGCGUUUAAAAUACCCAACAACCUUCACCACCUUGUGAUCAUCUAGCUCAUCACCACCGUAGCCUCUAAUCUUUCCAUCUAGUGCCAUUGGCCUAUCAAACAUUUCUUGUGGCCCUCCAUCAUCAACUAUCACAAAUCUAUUGAGCUUGGCCAUCAGCAAAUCAAUCUUUGCUCUUCUUACUUUGUCAACACCUUCAUGUGCA